AUGCACCCGCGUUAGCGAUUGUAAUGAAAAGCCCACAGCUUCCCCGGUAAAAACCGGGGAAGCGAGGACUUGUAGUGAAAAGCGCGACCCGCA
rnacentral:sRNA from 1 species